rnacentral:misc_RNA from 1 species
GGAUUUUAUGCAAAAGCAAUUAGCAUCUAAUAUAUUAUUGAAGGAAAUUCUGGUUGUUGAAUUACAAUUCUUGGGUCUUGAGCUUCGGCCACGACAGGGGCUUAAUGGAUUCCUUCAUAUAUGAAUGGUUUUCGCUUGAAAUUUAAAAUAGCUGAUUAUCGAUCUUCCAUAAAUGGAGCCAGCACUAUAUGUAAUUUAUAGCA